UACAGAGGUCUCAAGCGUUGUUCGGAUUCAUUGGGCGUAAAGGGUGCGUAGGCGGCGCGGUAAGUCGGGGUGUGAAAUCUUGGAGCUUAACUCCGAAACUGCAUUCGAUACUGCCGUGCUUGAGGACUGGAGAGGAGACGUGGAAUUACGGUGUAGCGGUGAAAUGCGUAGAUAUCGUAAGGAAGACCAGUGGCGAAGGCGGGUCUCGUGGA
rnacentral:rRNA from 1 species